rnacentral:sRNA from 1 species
UAUAUGUAUAAUAUUUAAUUUAUGAACAACCAUUAGAAAUAUAAAUUAUAGCGUUACACAGAGUGGAAUGUUUUAGGCAAACAAAAAAAGGUGCAAUGGGGAGUUCAGUUCUGUGAUUUUCACUUUUGGCACACCUGUAAUUUGCAGUUACGUACCAGAACGACCCCAUGGGCAUGCAUGGGUUUAAUUGCAGUCUCUCCACCGCUCACUCGCUCUCCCCUCUCCCAACCCCUGCGACCAUUAAUGCUAAUGGCAUGUGAAUGAAUGCACAAAGAGGGGGAUGCGAGGCAGAGAAAGAGCGCCAGUGUGACUGACGACUCUGACUGUCCCACUCACUCACUUACUCACUCAUUACACGUCUGCCUGCUCGCUCACUCCCUCACGUCACAUGAAAUUACAGUGGCCGCCGUCAGUCGACAGCGUCGGCGGGCGACAUCGUCAGCGUUGUUCUCAUUGAUUUUGCUUUGUUCGCGUAAAUUGUUCUCCUUAUGCUAAUGUUGUUGCUGUUUCUCUGCCAAAUUGCCAACAGAGAGAAAGAAUGAAUGUGGUGAAGCGGAGAAGAAAGAGGAUUGGGGAGGAAGACUGGAGUGCAGUGGUGCGAGAGUGAAGUCAUUCACUUGAAGAGCGGUGCUAAGCGGGAGAGCAGCAGGAGGAUUGCAAGGCGUACUUGUGCCGGGGAAUGCCAAUGCCUCACCUUGCAUUAAUAUGUUAUAUAUAUUUCGAAGAAGACUGGAGCCAGGGAGAGCAGGGAGAGAAAUGGGGUGAGCGUGACUGAUGAAGAAAAGAGAGAGAGGACAGAAUUGCAUGUUAAGUUUACCGUUUAUUUUAAGUUGGGUUUUUCUGCCUAGUGUUAUGCACAAGAAAUAAACAAAAAAAAAACAACAAAAG